UGCCUCAGUAACGGCGAGUGAAGCGGCAAAAGCUCAAAUUUGAAAUCCUUCGGGAGUUGUAAUUUGUAGAGGGGUGUCUUUGGGGCGGCAUUGUCUAUGUUCCUUGGAACAGGACGUCACAGAGGGUGAGAAUCCCGUGCGAUGAUGCCUCAACCAGUACAAGACCCUCUCGACGAGUCGAGUUGUUUGGGAAUGCAGCUCUAAGUGGGUGGUAAAUUCCAUCUAAAGCUAAAUACUGGCGAGAGACCGAUAGCGAACAAGUACAGUGAUGGAAAGAUGAAAAGCACUUUGAAAAGAGAGUGAAACAGUACGUGAAAUUGUUGAAAGGGAAGGGUAGGAGGUGAGGGGAAGAGCUGCUUAGGCGCGGGAGAUAAACAAGCAGGAAGCGCUUCGGUGCGGCCUGGUAAAUAUCCCGUGCUUGUGUGGUUCUUCCGUAAUCCCCUUCUACCGCCCGUCUUGAAACACGGACCAAGGAGUCUAACGUCUAUGCGAGUGUUUGGGUGUCAAACCCGUACGCGAAAUGAAAGUGAAAGAUUGCAGCCUCGGCGCACAAUCGACCGACCAUGAUUUAUCUACGGUUUGAGUGGAGCAUAGCUGUUGGGACCCGAAAGAUGGUGAACUAUACCUGAGC
rnacentral:rRNA from 1 species